rnacentral:lncRNA from 1 species
GCGCAGUGAAGGUGUGCAGUGCGUGCAGUGCGGGUGUGCCAUGCGGGUGUGCAGUGCGGGUGUGCAGGGCAGGGCUGUGGGUGCUCGUGGCCCGGCUCCGGCUGGGUGCACGCGCGUCCCCUGACCCCAAACGGCCCGUGCCCGCUCCCGGACCUGCCUGCAAUUAGUGCGUCAGGAAACGACUCCGCGUUUCCCUGGCCCCGAGCGCUGCGUUUGGCCUCGGCAAGGAGCAGCGCGCGGGGACAACGGCGGUGCGGGCGAGCGAGGAACGCCCGGUGGGGAGGUAGCGUGUGCCCACGCGCGUGUGCACGCCCACCGGUGGGGUUUGCACGUGGGCCUGGGGGGGUGUAGACAUGCGGGGUGUGCACACGCGUGCAUACGUGGGGCGCGUGCGUGUGCGUGCCCGGUGUGCGUGUGUGCAUGGGUGCGUGCACACGUGCGUGUGAUGUGCGUGUUCGUCUAGGGGGGUGUGCAUCCGUGCGUGGUGUGCCCGUGCGCGCAUGCUGCACGGGUGUGCGUGUGGGUGCGUGGGUGUGUGCUUGGGUGUGUUCAUGGGUGUGUGCAUGGGUGUGUGUGCACRUGUGUGUGUGUGCACAAGUGUGUGCAUAGGUAUGUGCACGGGUGUGUACACGGGUGUGUGCACAGGUGUGUACAUGGGUGUGUGCACAGGUGCAUGCAUGGGUGUGCACGGGUGCGUGCACAGGUGUGUGCAUGGGUGUUUACACGGGUGUGGGUGUGUGCACAGGUGUUUGCACAGGUGUGUGUGUGCAUGGGUGUUUGCACGGGUGUGUGCACAGGUGUGUGUGUGUGUACAGGUGUUUGCAUGGGUGUGGGUGUGUGCAUGGAUGUGUGCACAGGUGUGUGCGUGCACAGGUGUGUGCAUGGGUGUGUGCACAGGUGUGUGCAUGGGUGUGUGUGUGCACAGGUGCAUGCAUGGAUGUGCAUGGGUGCAUGCACGGGUGUGUGCACGGGUGUUUGCAUGUGUGUGUGUGCACGGGUGUGUGCAUGGGUGUUUGCACGGGUGUGUACACGGGUGUGUGUGUGUGUGCACGGGUGUUUGCAAGGGUGUGUGUGUGCACGGGGGUGUGUGUGUGCACGGGGGUGCACGCGCCCCCAGCACCACCCAGCCUCGGGAAGGGGCUCAGCCCCCCCGAUCCCCAACCCCAGCGCCCGCGGCGGCAGCACUCUCGCCCGCGGCCCCGCUUGGGCUCCCCGAGGGCAGCUCCAAAGCCCCGGACGCCGGGGCCCGGCCGAGCAGGGGACAAAGCCGCAACGAUCCGAGCCCGGACACCCCCCCUCUCCCGAUGCGGCCACCGGUCGCGACAUUUUCAGUGCCCCGAGCAGCGCCUGGGUCGCGGCUCCCCAUCCCGACCGGGUGGAUUUGGCGCUGCCUGCUCCCGCCCCGGCUGAUAUUCCCGGCUCUCUCCGAUAAGGGCCGGACAGGAAUGUUUCUCUUUGUAGUUUGAGAACAAACAAUAUGUUAAAGGGGGGCGGAAAAAAAAAAAAGCGCAAAACUCCCCAAAUCCCACCCCCACGCCGCAUUCUUCCCUCUCCUCCCCGGCAGCUGCUCCGUGCUCCCGCGGGAAACCUGAGCCGCUCCAUCGCCUGACUCAGGGCUCUGGGAUGAGCCGAAAACUCCCCUCAGCUCCCGGUGCAAGCCGGGGACAAAAGUUCACGCCGGAGUUCAGGCGGCCUCCGGGCCGCGGAGCUGGCGGAGCUGCCGUUCCGGAGCUGCUUUCCCGGGAUGGGAAGUGCCCGGCGGCUGCUUGGACACGGUUUUUGGGGAGAAACACGGCUGCCGGGAAGGAGGCCGUGRGCCGUGCGGUGGCAGUGACACCCCGUGACACCCCACGGACCAUGGGCUGGUGGGGAUGGGGACGGGGGUGAGGGCAGGAAUGGGGAUAGGGAAAGGGAUGGGGUGGGGAUGGGGAUGGGAACAGGGAUGGGGAUGGGGACAGGGACGAGGACAGGAAUAGAAAUGGGAUGGGGAUGGGAACAGGGAUGGGGAUAGGGUGGGAAUGGAGAUAGGGAUAGAAAUAGGGACAGGGAUGGGAAUGGGAAUGGGGACAGGGACAGGGCAGGGAGAGAAACAGGGAUGGGGCUGGAGACAGGGAUGGGGCUGGGGUGGGAAUGGAGAUAGGGAUCAAAAAAGGGAUGGGAUAGGGAUUGAGAUGGGGAUAGGGACAGGGAUAGAACUAGGGAUGGGAGCAGGGACAGGGAUGGGGAUGCACUGGGAAUGGUGACGGGGAUAGGGACAGGCAUAGAAAUAGGGAUGGGGAUGGGGUUGGGAAUGGAAAUAGGGAUAGAAACAGGGACGGGGAUGGGAAUGGGGACGGGGACAGGGAUGAGGACGGGGAUGUCGGGGCGCCGGGUGCUUUCCGGGCAAACGAGAGCGGCGAUGCAGCGGGAAGGGGCGUAAACAGCCCGUCUGGGACGUGCACCGAGUUGGGCCGGCACGAAGGGGAG